CACCUACGGGAGGCAGCAGUGGGGAAUAUUGGACAAUGGGCGCAAGCCUGAUCCAGCAAUGCCGCGUGAGUGAUGAAGGCCUUAGGGUUGUAAAGCUCUUUCACCCACGACGAUGAUGACGGUAGUGGGAGAAGAAGCCCCGGCUAACUUCGUGCCAGCAGCCGCGGUAAUACGAAGGGGGCUAGCGUUGUUCGGAAUGACUGGGCGUAAAGGGCGCGUAGGCGGUUGACCAAGUUGGGGGUGAAAGCCCGGGGCUUAACCUCGGAAUUGCCUCCAAAACUGGUCGGCUUGAGUGUGGAAGAGGGUUGUGGAAUUCCCAGUGUAGAGGUGAAAUUCGUAGAUAUUGGGAAGAACACCAGUGGCGAAGGCGACAACCUGGUCCAUUACUGACGCUGAGGCGCGACAGCGUGGGGAGCAAACAGGAUUAGAUACCCUGGUAGUCCACGCCGUAAACGAUGAGUGCUGGAUGUUGGACGGUUGCCGUUCAGUGUCGAAGUUAACGCGAUAAGCA
rnacentral:rRNA from 1 species